UACGUAGGGUGCAAGCGUUGCCCGGAUUUAUUGGGUUUAAAGGGUGCGUAGGCGGUUUUGUAAGUCAGUGGUGAAAUACUCCAGCUUAACUGGAGGGGUGCCAAUGAUACUGCAGAACUUGAGUACAGAUGAGGUAGGCGGAAUUGAUGGUGUAGCGGUGAAAUGCAUAGAUAUCGUCAAGAACACCGAUAGCGAAGGCAGCUUACUGGGCUGUAACUGACGCUGAGGCACGAAAGUGUGGGGAUCAAACAGG
rnacentral:rRNA from 1 species